UGCAGAAAGAUCGCACGGCGCUUCAAAGCGGUUCUUUACAGAUUUUCUUCAGGAUCUACCUACGCCGGGCACAGGUGGACCUAGCUUUGACACAACCAUUAACAGUAACAUAACCGGACUUGUGGGCAAGACAGUUAAAUUAACAUGCCGUGUAAAAAAUUUGGGAAACCGUACGAAAGUUCUUCCAUACUAAGUGUACCAUAUUGUCUUCGUACAGCAGCAACUUUGGGAGCACAUAAAA